rnacentral:rRNA from 1 species
GACGAACGCUGGCGGCGUGCUUAACACAUGCAAGUCGAGCGGAAAGGCCCUUCGGGGUACUCGAGCGGCGAACGGGUGAGUAACACGUGAGUAACCUGUCCCAGACUUUGGGAUAACCCUCGGAAACGGGGGCUAAUACCGGAUACGACACAGCUUCGCAUGGGGUCUGUGUGGAAAGUUUUUCGGUUUGGGAUGGGCUCGCGGCCUAUCAGCUUGUUGGUGGGGUGAUGGCCUACCAAGGCGACGACGGGUAGCCGGCCUGAGAGGGCGACCGGCCACACUGGGACUGAGACACGGCCCAGACUCCUACGGGAGGCAGCAGUGGGGAAUAUUGCACAAUGGGCGGAAGCCUGAUGCAGCGACGCCGCGUGAGGGAUGACGGCCUUCGGGUUGUAAACCUCUUUCAGCAGGGACGAAGCGUAAGUGACGGUACCUGCAGAAGAAGCGCCGGCCAACUACGUG